AAUGGAACAACAGCUCCUAGUUUUUACUAGGGGAGUGCCGUCGCGCAUCAUUUUCACGCAUGGUGCAAUAUGGAGAAAUUCAGGAGGAUGCAAAAGAAGAAAUUUACUCCUCCAGUCACAUGGACUGACCUUCAAUGAGAGUAAAACUUUCCUACGCUUUAUUUUAUUAGAUCUCUAAAAACUUCAUCCAUUUUCUCACAAUGUUUUGUGAUUUAUAAAAUUUUCCUGAAUAAAAGAUCGUCACAAAAGUUAUUUUUUUAAGGCCACCCCAUUAAAAUAGCUGUUUUCAGUACUUUCAUAUUUGGGUAUUUUACACAAAAUCUGGAUUUUUUUAUGUACAUGAAAUCAUUAUCAUCUGUCCCGCGUAACUAAAUCCUCCACUUUUCCCGGUCACCAAUGUUCUUAACAAGAGAGAGAGGCUGGUCCAUUAUUUGCGUAGUCCAGCCAGCUUUUCUUCUGACAAACCUUUUUUCGUUUAUUCUCUUAAAGGAUAUUUUUUUUAAAGUUAGUCUUACAAAAUACAAUUCCAAACCAACUCAUGCAGUUAUCGUCUUUUCACAGUAUUGAGGAGUCAUCCUUUUUGCCAGCCAGAGUGUUAAUUGGCAAAAGUAAAAAAUUCAUUAUUUUAAUUUUUUUAGUAAAUAUUCACAACUAUAUCUUUUAUAUAAUAAUAUAUAUUUUUUAAUAAUAAUAUCUUUUAUAUAUACAUGCUUUAAUAGAUCUAAUAAAUGAUUAACGCGGCCCUACCAAUAUGGGUAUAUUAAUACUUAAAUCUGGGUAUUUUAAAUUUCGAAUGCGCAUUUUUUAAAAACCGAACUUAUCUAUAGAUCUCUUAUAUCUAGAAUAAUCUAGAUCUACAACACCCUGACUUAGACUUAGACUAUGGUUCUAGAUCUAUUUAAAGAUAUUUUUUAAAAAAUAACUCAAUAGAUCUAAUAAAGUCAUGAUUUCCACUCUAUUUUCUCUACAUCUAGACCACACAUGAGAUCAAUAUGAAUGUUUAUAGAUCUAGUGACUCUCUAGUCUACGUCUAUCUAGAACUCUAGAUUCUAGAUCUAUCGAUCAUCUAGAUCUAUAGACUAUAGACUCAUUAGACUGUAUUAUACUUAUACUGUAACUGUAUUAAUUAGUGUAUAGUGACGGUAAUUAUAGUCACUAUAAUCAAUAGUGUAUUGCCUGUAGAUCUAGUACCUGUACUAAUAUUAGUAGAUGUAGAUCUAUAAUAAUAAUUUAAUACUUUUUAAUAGUAGAAAGUAGAUUUAUAAUCUAUCAAUUCUAUCUAAUCUAGAUCUAAAUCUAGACUUCACUUUCACAUCACAUGAUUAUUGAUACAGACAGUGAAUGAAACGAAUGCAGUGAUUAUAUUAUAUAGUUUAUACUGAUUAUACUUAUAGCUCUACCAGUUGAUUAUCAUCAUCAUCAUAGAUAAUAAUCUAGACUAGUAUUCUAGAUCUAUAAAUAAUCAUAGUCACCGUGAUAGUGCCCUUUUUAGUCAAUGUAGUCAAGUCAAGAUAGUGAAACAUAAACUCGAAGGUUUAAUACAAUACAGUAUAAGUAGAGUCUAUGAUUAUUAACAAGUAGAACCAUGCCAACCAGUUCUGAUGAUGUACCAGAAUGGCUCAAGGAUCAUACUUAUACUAUUUCUACUCUCUGGGCAGACAUUAAUAAUAUUGGAAUCCAUUCAACAUUUAUUUUAUGUUUGGAAAUGCAAGAAAAAGGCAUGCAUUCCUGACAAGUCAAUAAUUGGUUGCACCUCUUAAAGAUAACUUUCUGUUAUGAGAAAAGAUGAGAUUCUUGGACUCCUGCAUAGCACCACCAGAAAGGAAAAUCCCAUCAUGUUGCAAAAUAAAAGUCUUGGACCAAUUUUAAUUUAAGAUAUAUAUAUUAUACUGUAAGCUCUAUACAUAUUUAUGUAUAUCCUGUCAUUCAGCCAACAGGUUUGGAUUUAGUAUUUCUUUAAAUCUGUUUGAUAUUGUACUUGAAAACUAUUAAUCUGAGCCACAUUAAAACAAUAGGGAGUGCAGUGAAUGAGUGGUAAAGCACUUGGCUUCUGAACUGAGGGUUCCUGGGUUCGAUUAAGACUGGGAUUUUCAAUUUCAGAAUUCAAAAGGCUAGGGAUACAUGGCAAUAGUAAGGAAUAAGUAAAGGCAGUUUGGGGAUCCAUGGCUGAAUGGUUAAGUCAUGGGUUUGAAUCUCUGUGAAGACUCAGAUUAAAUUUUUUUUUUAGAUUUUUGGGUGCCCCUGAGUCCACCUAACUCUAAUGGGUAGCUGACUUUCGUUUUGGAAAGUAAAGAUGAUUGGUUGUUGUGCUGGCCACAUGAUGCACUGGCCAAAGAAUCAAAUGACCUUAACAUCAUCUGCCCUAUAGAUUGUGACGUCUGAAAUGGGAUUUUUUUUCAAAAGGUGGUUGGUUGUUGUGCUGGGUACAUGACACCCUCGCUAACCAUGGGGCACAGAAACUGAUAAACUUUAUAUCAUCUGCCCCAUAGAUUGCAAGAUAUGUAAGGGAAAUUUUACUUUUUUAAAAUUAAAAUUAGAAUCUAUCAAAAGUAAACAUAAAACAUGGUGCAUUCUCUUUAAAACUAA